rnacentral:rRNA from 1 species
UACGGAGGGUGCGAGCGUUGUCCGGAAUCACUGGGCGUAAAGGGCGCGUAGGCGGCCUGAUAAGUAGGGGGUGAAAUCCUGCGGCUUAACCGCAGGGCUGCCUUCUAAACUGUCAGGCUAGAGCACAGUAGAGGCAGGUGGAAUUCCCGGUGUAGCGGUGGAAUGCGUAGAGAUCGGGAAGAACAUCAGUGGCGAAGGCAGCCUGCUGGGCUGUUGCUGACGCUGAGGCGCGACAGCGUGGGGAGCAAACAGG